ensembl:lncRNA
GAGAUUAAACUGCCCCGUAACUACCAGGCUGAUGGCAGCCUGCCAUUCCCGCUCUGCUGUAAACUCCGCUUGUUAAUGAGGAGCAUGUGCUAAUUGUUGUCAGCAUCCCUGCCAUACAUCCCUUCCCUAACAACAUAUUUUACCUGCUGAAAGGUGUUACCUCUUGCACUGUCAGCAUCCCAUUUGAGAGAACAAAUCUCAGAACGGUAGGAGAAAAGGUUCGGCGGCAUUUCGCGUGGCACGGAACUAAAAGGAUGUGUUUCAGUAUCGAUAUCCAGACCCUCCUGGCACCUCGUCCUGCAGUUGCUACUCCUACAUUAACACAUCAAGGCAUCCAGAUCAGGGUUACAUCAUCCCUCAGGUUCCUCCACAUGGAGCCCAAAGCACAACAUCAGCACCUCUGCUCUCAGAACAUGUGUGAUUGACUGACCACCACUCCAAGUCAGUGGAAAGACUAAAGAUGAGGGAUCAAUCCUAUCUGCUAAAAUCUGAAAUGGCUUCAUCCACACACAGCAUGGAUAAAACAGGGUGCUGGAGGAUACAUUUACCAACUUCACUGUGGUAUUUCACAACACAGCUUCUGCAGCCAUUCAGUCUCCAAAUAUCUACCUACCCACCGACUGCAACUGUUUUAAUCUCAAUCGUAGCAGGUAGGACUUUAAAUAAGAUUUACUUCUAAAAUAUUUCCAUCAGCAUUAUCUGUUAUUAAAGGAAAAAAAAAAAGAAGUUAAAAUAAGAUUUCUUACAAAAGGUAAUUAAGCAGUAUAAUAUCAUAGUAAGUGGAAUGAACAAUAAGGAGUUGUACUAAAAUAUAUGCCUCGUGCAGUAGAGGACUGGUGUUUCAGGAGAUUAACAAUUAUGAUCACCAGUCCUCUUCUGUUUCUGUAAUACUCUACACAAUCUUUUUUAAAUUACUUUAUUAACCUUUCCUCCUAGCACAGAAGUGCCCGAUUAUAGAUAAUAUUUCAAAAUCAUCUGAAGUGUAAGUGUGUUUGAUUUGCUCAGUAAUUAUUUGUCUACUUUAUUACAUUGACCAAGCACACAAGCUCCUUGACCAGUUUUAUUUCAAGUCCAGUUAAGAACAGGUUGGAUCAUUUUGUGUGAUCACCCGCUUUGGGCCCCCGAGCGCCUGGAGUUUCACACGGGACCUGGGAACCUGGACAUGGAAAUCCCACACUUCCAACAUGCAGCAAUCAGUCUGUGAUGCCAUCGAAGGCUCAGGGGCUGCUCACCAAGAGAGGGUUUGGUAACAAAGUUUGUUCACUCACUGUACUGCAGACCACAGACACUAAAGCACAGCCAUGCAAAUUUGCCUUCCUAAACCUAAAAAGGGUGUAAAAACCCCUAUAUAUUUGUCAAUGCAUGCUCUUGGCUGAUAAUUUAUUCCCCACGUUUCACACAAGGCAUUAUUUCAAUUUGGAGCUGAGGUAUUAGCCCAUUACUGGCUCCACUCCUCUCUGCAGCCUCAUGCUAAACAUAUGGUGAUCACAGGGAAAUAUGCAUUUCUUACAGCACAGGCCUGGAGAAAACAAGCCAGCACGAAAAUAAAAAAUGCAAUGAAAAAGUUUUCCUGCUCUAA